rnacentral:rRNA from 2 species
AGACCCGAAACCCGGUGAUCUAGCCAUGGGCAGGUUGAAGGUUGGGUAACACUAACUGGAGGACCGAACCGACUAAUGUUGAAAAAUUAGCGGAUGACCUGUGGCUGGGGGUGAAAGGCCAAUCAAACCGGGAGAUAGCUGGUUCUCCCCGAAAGCUAUUUAGGUAGCGCCUCGUGAAUUCAUCUCCGGGGGUAGAGCACUGUUUCGGCUAGGGGGCCAUCCCGGCUUACCAACCCGAUGCAAACUGCGAAUACCGGAGAAUGUUAUCACGGGAGACACACGGCGGGUGCUAACGUCCGUCGUGAAGAGGGAAACAACCCAGACCGCCAGCUAAGGUCCCAAAGUCAUGGUUAAGUGGGAAACGAUGUGGGAAGGCCCAGACAGCCAGGAUGUUGGCUUA